UGGGGAAUAUUGCACAAUGGGCGCAAGCCUGAUGCAGCCAUGCCGCGUGUAUGAAGAAGGCCUUCGGGUUGUAAAGUACUUUCAGCGGGGGAGGAAGGGAGUAAAGUUAAUACCUUUGCUCAUUGACGUUACCCGCAGAAGAAGCACCGGCUAACUCCGUGCCAGCAGCCGCGGUAAUACGGAGGGUGCAAGCGUUAAUCGGAAUUACUGGGCGUAAAGCGCACGCAGGCGGUUUGUUAAGUCAGAUGUGAAAUCCCCGGGCUCAACCUGGGAACUGCAUCUGAUACUGGCAAGCUUGAGUCUCGUAGAGGGGGGUUAGAAUUCCAGGUGUAGCGGUGAAAUGCGUAGAGAUCUGGAGGAAUACCGGUGGCGAAGGCGGCCCCCGUGGCACGAAGACUGACGCUCAGGUGCGAAAGCGUGGGGCAGCAAACAGGAUUAGAUACCCUGGUAGUCCACGCCGUAAACGAUGUCGACUUGGAGGUUGUGCCCUUGAGGCGUGGCUUCCGGAGCUAACGCGUUAAGUCGACCGCCUGGGAGUACGGCCGCAAGG
rnacentral:rRNA from 1 species